rnacentral:lncRNA from 1 species
GCUUAUAUAAGUGCAUCUUGCUAUGUACAUGUACUAGAAAGUAGGGUUGUGUCCUAAAGGGUCCUCAGGUGGCCCUGGGCUUUGAAUCAAUCAGAAGUGAUUCUCUACAUCCCACUCCCUCAAAGGUCAGGAGAAUGUUGCUUCUUGUGAGUGGCUCAUAGAGCUGACCCUUGUGCACACAGACCACAGCAACAAUAAAGAGAACAACAGAAUACAACUAACACUAUUGCUGCCACAGUGCAGCCUGUGGUCUCCCAGCACCAGUUGGAUCACAAGGUUUCCCAUCAUUGGUUGGCUCACCUGCUAGGGAAGUCUUCCCACCUCUUGCCUUACACAGUAGAAAAUGGUGAAAAACAGCCAAGCCACUCAUCUGGCCAACUCAUGGUGGAGGGGAAGAAUUUGUAUCUAGCACUUCUAAGGCCUGUAAUUCAUCUCCAGGUGCCAGGCAGAUUGCCUCCCAGUCCUCAGCUGCCUUCCAGGCUUCCAAAAAGGUGCCAACAGGACACCCACCUCAUCCUGCCAACUAUGCCACUUGUCAGUGUAAGAGAGAUGAAGUGCUAUUUUCUCAGUCUCAGAGGCUGGAGAAUAAGUCUUCAUGCUGCAAAGAGACGUAGAAGGUUCAUCACAGCAUCCACUCCAUUAAGGUAUAUGGUGAGAGCUUGGUCACAAAAGUUAGGUCUAGGCCCAAAACAUUUCAGCUAAAAAUAAGCUCUCUAAAACUGUGCACAGAAGGCAAAGACCACCUUGAUGUUCUAUUAAUCUAAAUCAUGGGCAAAAUCUGUGAAUGACAAGUUGUACUCUAUGGCCCAGACUUUAAAAUUUCCAGGGCUGUGGGCAGAGUCAAGAAAGGUCACUUGAAAGAUGUCUCAAGACUCGUCUGUGGAAGCUGUCACACUAAUGG